GCCGAAGUAGCUCAGUUGGUAGAGCAGCUGAUUCGUAAUCAGCAGGUCGUCGGUUCAAGUCCGAUCUUCGGCUCCA
rnacentral:tRNA from 2 species